GCGCAGGCGCCGUGUGUCCAGGCGCCGGGCGUCCGCGUCGGCGAUCAGGGGUCUGGGCGCGGCGAGAUCUGGUGUGGCAGAUGUGGAUAGCUGGACCCUCCUGGGUGCCUCUGCGUUAUGUCGUUUGGUUGAUGCAUUUGGAGAGAAUCUGUGCUCUCCACACCUGCAGGGGCAACAUGCUUUCCUGGCCUCUUCAGAUCAGGGUGGCUGUUCUUGGGUGCUGCACCAAAACUCCAGCAGUGGGCUUUCUUCAAGGUGAGCUGCAAGAUGGAAUCUGAGGCCCACCCGUCAGUAAGAGUUUCCUCCUGGUAUCCAUGGAAUCUACUGGUCUGUCUCACUUUGGCCUUUGACCCAGGCAGGGGUUCCUAACAUCUACAUCGGUCAUUCGGACAGCCUUGGUUUUGGUUCACUGCCUUACACGGGGCUUCCAGAUGUUGACCUGCUUCAUUUUACAGUAUCAGGAAAUCACUUUCCCCUCAGAAAUGGCCGGCUCACCUCAUUCCUGCCAAGACCCAGGUCCGUGUUCUCACAGCGCUGCCAUCUUUCCUCCGUGUGAGCGUGUGCUGUGCGGAGAGUGGACCUCGGUGUGUGCGGGGCUGCGUGCACUGCCAUCGGCUCCCUCUACACGAGCCGCCGUGGACCCAGGGCUGAGCUGUGACCACGAGGGCCAUCCCGACGAGCCGCCGUGGACCCAGGGCUGAGCUGUGACCACGAGGGCUAUCCCGACGAGCCGCCAUGGACCCAGGGCUGAGCCGUGACCAUGAGGGCCAUCCCGAAACUGUGAUUAUGAAGAAACCAAGGCUUUGUGACUAACUCAACCCCUCAAGAAG
rnacentral:antisense_RNA from 1 species